UCAGGAUUCAAAAUGACCUCAGGGGGCCAGACAGACAAACUAAGCAAAGACCAGGGUGGAGUCCUGUGCUGAGUUUGAAAAAACAAACGUGCAGGGAGAAGACAUCAGUCCAUGUCAAAACGACAUGACAUUUCAGUGGCUAACUUCAGCCUUGGCUAACUCCGUGGGAAAUGCCAGAAAAAGAAGCAACUUCAGCCUCAAGCUGCACCCCAUCACAGUUAAUAGGAGCCCCAGGCUGGAGGAGCUCACGGUCUGGCUCAAGGCAGGAGACUCGUGCUCGGUUCGCAGCACCACAGACGAUCAUUGACAAACUCAAGCACCACAUGUGAAAGUGCCAGCCGUGAGAUGGUGGCCUCAAUUACACCCAGCAGAACUAACAAGUGGCCGAAGAAAGGCGAUCAAGACAGGGAGGGUCUGGACACGGAAACUGAAAAUGAUCGGAGAAAGUGAGGUCGGAGACGCCUCAGGGAGCACUGUGGCAGCAGAGAGGACUCUGCCUGGAAUGCUGUUCCUCCGAAUCUCCCCUACUUGAAACAUUUCUCAUGCUUCAGAGACCACCCGAAGAGCCAUGUCCUCUGCUGAAAGCUUCUUCCCCCUCUUCUGAGUUCCUGUGGCUCUCAGUGCCUGUCCUCUGCACCGGAAGUUUGUCACCUACUUCUGUGGAAACUAGAGAGUUUCUGCUUCAAGAUGUUGAAACGGAGACUCCAAGAGGAUGGUUUCUGAGCGUGAGUCCUAGCGUCAGCUACCAUCAGCAGCAGCAGCACAGCACGGAGCCAGAUCUCGGGCGCAGACACUCAUGGAGAGGCCACAGUUUAAUCAGCAAGCUGAGGCAAACCGUGUUUCAGGAGAAUUCACAAUAUAAGGUAGAAUGCGCAAGAAAAACACCCCGAAUUAGGAAUGAAAAGACCCAGCUUCCCAAAUCCCCUUUCUGACACUUCUUGCUUUGUGACCCUGGGUAAGUCACUCACCCUCAUGGCUCACUUUUCUCUUCUGUAAAAGACUUGCUUUCACGGGGCCAUUCCUGGCCUGUGAGAAAGCAAACUCCCCAAGGGCAGGAACCACGUCUGUCUUGUCCCUUGUGGAUUGUAUAUUGCAUUC
rnacentral:lncRNA from 1 species